CCCAUUAUUUACCAGAUUAAUGGUUAAAGUCUGGUAUGACUGAGAUAAUUUUGCUAAGAGGUGUAGCUAAGGAUGUGGGGUUGAGGUGACAUAGCUUAUGUCUGUAUGUAUCCUAUAUUGCUAUAGGGAUGGCCAUGGUAGAGAGUAUUUUUGUCACGGAAGAGUGGUAUGCUUUCUGUGACAAUACCAAGGAUGUUAAACAAAGUCUUUCAGUCUAUCAUGCCUCUAUCAAUACCUAUUGUGGUGCAUGUAGGGAUACAUGUGCCAAGACAAUACUUUUUAGAAUCACCGCUUUGUAUUAGAGGGCAAUAUUAGGAAGUCCCAUUCUCCCUUGUAACAUUGGCUUACAUAGAGUGUUGGCAGCUAUUCUCAGUUUUGUCUUCCACUCUAUAUAAACUUGUUUAUGGAAGUUUGUAAAUGUUUGAAAAAAAAAAGGAUUUUGAAACUUGGAAGGGUAAAGUAAAUAUUGAAGUUUUGAUAUAAUUGUCAAAUUUUGUGGUUGCUAUGAGACCUGACCAUGUUAACAUUUUACCUUUCAAACUCUCAAAUAGUUUAGUAAUCUCCCUGCUUAGGGUAUUGUAAUUUAGGUGGAAAAGUUGGGAUAAGAAAUUUGAUAGUAACACUCCUAGUAGGUUAUUGCUUUCUUUUUCCACUCAUAGUUUUAUUUGGCCUUCAAGAGUUGAAGGUCACUGUCAUUUAUUCCAUAAACUCCUACUGGUAGUGACAUGUGCAAGGGUGCUAUUGAGCUCAAGAUAACUGUGGAGAGAACUGAAUUCUGUGUAAGACUGCUUGGAGGAAAGACCAGUGAAGAUGUUCUAACUGAAGAUGAAAAGAUCCAUACUGAAAAGAAGUG